rnacentral:rRNA from 1 species
UGAGGAAUAUUGGACAAUGGGCGAAAGCCUGAUCCAGCCAUGCCGCGUGAGUGAAGAAGGCCCUAGGGUUGUAAAGCUCUUUCAAUCGUGAAGAUAAUGACGGUAGCGAUAGAAGAAGCUCCGGCUAACUCAGUGCCAGCAGCCGCGGUAAUACUGGGGGAGCGAGCGUUGUUCGGAAUCACUGGGCGUAAAGCGUGCGCAGGCGGAUUGGAAAGUCAGAAGUGAAAUCCCAGGGCUCAACCCUGGAACUGCUUUUGAAACUUCCUUUCUAGAGUAUGGUAGAGGUUGGGAGAAUUCCUAGUGUAGAGGUGAAAUUCGUAGAUAUUAGGAGGAAUACCAGUGGCGUAGGC